rnacentral:misc_RNA from 1 species
UUUUUUUUUUUUUAUUUUUUUAUUAUUAUUUUAAUUUUCUAUUAUUUUAAUUUUAAUUUUAGAAAUUAUUUAUUUUAAUUUUCUAUAUUAUAUUAUUAUUCUAUAUUCUAUAUUUAUAUUCUAUAUCAAAUAAUAUUGUUAUUUAUAUUAAAUAUUAUUAUUUAAUAUAUAAAUUAUUCUAUUAUAUAGAAUUUAGAAAUUUAUAUAUUUAUAUAUUAUUUUAUUAUAUUUUAUUAUUAUUUUAUUUAUUUUAAAUUUUUUUUAGGGCUAUACGGACUCGAACCGUAGACCUUCUCGGUAAAACAGAUCAAACUGAUUUUUAUCAAAAUGAUUCGAACUUUUUCAAAGACCCAACAUGCAUUUUUUUGUUUUGCAUUGGGCUCGUUCAUUAACUGAUAUAAAUAAUCCGUUAGUCUACCAUAAUUCUCUUGGCAGAAAGAUAAGAAGAUGGCUCCGUGUGCUCUGAUUUAUGUAUUCCGAUCCAAGAGCACUACCAAAGUGUUUCAAAGAAGAGAAGGGUUAUCCUGACGUAGGUCUGCUUUUGGCUUAGAUCAACCUAAGUUAAAUGGAAUCUCCAUCGCCCCACUUCUGCUUAAAGAAUCCAAUAUGAAACUUCAUACACCUUAAAGUUCAUAGGAUAGGACGAAAAGAGAAUUUUUGAGGUUCUUAUACUCAUUAUGCCUAGCAUUGAAUAGACUGGGUAUUCACCUUAUCAAGGUCUUAAAUCAAUAAUCAAUGAUGGGUUCUAUUGGGCGUCUAAAAAGGCACCUAAAUUGGACCGAACCUUUUGUGUCAGGCUAUUGUUCUCUUGUUCCCUAAAAGUCAUGGAGUAAGACAUCGACUUCUCAAUAAGUCUUUUGAUUACAUGAUGGACUCCUUUGAAAAAAAAAAAAAAAAAAAAAUA